UACGUAGGGUGCGAGCGUUUGUCCGGAAUUACUGGGCGUAAAGAGCUCGUAGGUGGUUUGUCGCGUUGUCCGUGAAAACUCACAGCUUAACUGUGGGCGUGCGGGCGAUACGGGCAGACUGGAGUACUGCAGGGGAGACUGGAAUUCCUGGUGUAGCGGUGGAAUGCGCAGAUAUCAGGAGGAACACCGGUGGCGAAGGCGGGUCUCUGGGCAGUAACUGACGCUGAGGAGCGAAAGCGUGGGGAGCGAACGG
rnacentral:rRNA from 1 species